rnacentral:rRNA from 1 species
AGUGAACGCUGGCGGUAGGCCUAACACAUGCAAGUCGAACGGCAGCACAGUAAGAGCUUGCUCUUACGGGUGGCGAGUGGCGGACGGGUGAGGAAUACAUCGGAAUCUACUUUUUCGUGGGGGAUAACGUAGGGAAACUUACGCUAAUACCGCAUAUGAUCUACGGGUGAAAGCAGGGGAUCUUCGGACCUUGCGCGAUUGAAUGAGCCGAUGUCGGAUUAGCUAGUUGGCGGGGUAAAGGCCCACCAAGGCGACGAUCCGUAGCUGGUCUGAGAGGAUGAUCAGCCACACUGGAACUGAGACACGGUCCAGACUCCUACGGGAGGCAGCAGUGGGGAAUAUUGGACAAUGGGCGCAAGCCUGAUCCAGCCAUACCGCGUGAGUGAAGAAGGCCUUCGGGUUGUAAAGCCCUUUUGUUGGGAAAGAAAAGCAGCAGGUUAAUACCCCGCUGUUCUGACGGUACCCAAAGAAUAAGCACCGGCUAACUUCGUG